UCCACCAGAUAAAAGCUAUCAGAAAUUAAUGAAAUUGGUUUAGUUCUUACCUGUCUGCAGAUCUGUAGUGUUUUGCCCAUGGUGGACUUGGGAGAUAGCCAAUUUGGAAGUAGUGGCCUGAGCAUGUUUCUGUCUUUUGUUUCACAGGAGAAGCUAAGUGCCUUGGAUUCCAUGCCUAACGAGAUGAAAGAAGAAUGACUCCCAUGGGUGUCAACAAAGCAUGUCACAUCAAUUUGAGGCAGUACCAAGCUUUUCCACCUGGCCAUCACUCCCUGGGAUUAAACGCUCGCUUUCUGGAAUUAAAGGCAUGAGUCACCAUGCUUGGCUGUAUCCUUGAACAGAUGGAUUUCUGCCUCUGGAAUGCUAGGAUUAAAGGCAUGUGCUACCACUGCCUAUCCUAAGUAUCUAGUGACUUUUCUGUUCUCUGACCCCAGAUAAGUUUAUUAGGGUACACAAUAUUUUGGGGAACACAAUACCACCACAGGGUGAAUAGUCUGUAUUCUUAUUAGACGGAAUGUUCUCACCCCACCAUUGGUACUCUUUGUCUAUCUCUCUAUCUCUAUUUCUCUCCCUCUCUCUCUCUAUGUCUGUCUCCCUUUCCUUAUUUUGGGUAUAAAUCUAUCUAUAUAUCGUUGGUCAUUACUUUAUUUUGGCAGUCCUAUUGACUGUGAAAGCUACUUUCAAGAUUUCAUAGUAUAAGCUAUGAGAGAUACGAUGAGUUGCUUUGGGAAAUUAAGCUAAUCAAAUACAAUGCAUUAGUGUCUAGUUGAUUUUUUUUCUAAUCUUGCAACAAAGACUUACAUCAUGAGGAAGUUAUAUUCAAAGUGAAUUUUCUCUGUAAGAUACAUGAUAAAUAAUUGCCUAUUCACUUUAGUCCCACUGAUAGUAUCUAUAUUGAGUGUCCAUCAUUCCAGAUACAUCUAGAGAUAGUUUCUAAAGGAAGUAGCCAUGAUUCUAGAUAAAUCUAGAGAUGGUGUGUUUUAUUAAGGUGAUCUGAUUGAUGAUCAUGAAGUUCUCUUUUAAGUCCCAAUCAACAUUUCUAUAUUUCCAAUUCAUUUUCUUUCCACUACUUUGCAUCUCAUAGAAGGAUUUAUAAAACCUGUCCAGUGUCUUUCUUCCAAACAAGAAAUUCCUCACAGAAACAUUACUGAUUUCUCUGAAAGCAGUUCCUGACAUGGUUAAUGGUCAUGCUUUACUGGAAUGUCUGCAGGCCAGGUGUGGAAUUAUUUUGCGGUUCCUGUUAUAAAGCACUCAUUGUCAUAUUUCACCUUGGGUAAUGAAUCAGAAUCUCAGACUGAAGGGUGGAUCUGUGCUCUGUGCUCUUAGUGUUGGUCCAUAGCUGGGCUCCUUGAAGGAUUACUAGGUCCUCUUCUAAACAAUGCUUUCUGUUCCCCAAAUUGAACCCGAGUAAGAGUACACUCUUGCGAUCUAUGAAGUACUUACAAUGUUUCCGAAAAUUGGUAAGAGAGCAGGCCUGGCUGUUCCUGUGUUCUCUGCUGGCUAAUGCAAUGUUUAGUGGACAAGAGAGUGAGAGCCAGGGUGGUGAGAAUCUAAAACACUCAUGUUGCAAAUGGGAGGAAUCAAUCCUUCCAUGUAAGUAUUUAUUCCUAGGAAGGGAGGAGAAUGGGUUGAAUUCCAGGAAGAGGUGAAGCCUUUGCUAUUAUUUCUAUUGUAUUCCACCUGGGCUCUGGGCUUCUCCUUCUACCAUGUGAACCACAGAGAUGGGACUCCACUCUUAGGCUUGAGAUUAAGAGUCUUUACCUGCUGAGCAUAUUACAGGACUGCAGUUCUUUAUGCCAACAAAUAAAUAAGAAGAAAAAGCCUAGACAGAAAGAUCCUACCCUUUACUUUAAAAAUGGUAGACUAUUAAAAUUAAAAUAAAAACAGAUUUUGCUUCCCAAGGUGAUUUUGUUUCACUAACCUGUUAACAUUAGGGGUCUCCCACCUCCAUUAUUCAGGCCAUGAGAGAGAAGAAAUAUAAAAGCAAUACAUUUUUUUUCAGAUAAAAACUAAAUUGCAGCCUAGAGCGUUGAAAAAUGAACAAUUACAUUCACUAUCCCCAGAGCAUGUAAUAAUUGGGAUUGUAGACCCAGUGUCCUUUCCUUGAAAUACAGCUAAUACAUUUUUCAUAUUUUUCACUUUUUGUAUAUUUAUACUUGGUGGUCGUUCACUUUUGUGAAAACAAAACUAUGCUAUAACCAGUCCUGACCUAUUUUUCUUCUUUCUUCUUCUUCUCCUGCAAGCAUGUCCCUUCACAGGUGCUCUGAGCUGCAGACCAAAUCAAAGCUGAGAAAUGCUUUAAAGUUCCUGAAAACUUCUCUCCAGAAAACAAUGAAAAGUCUUGGGAUGUCUGAGCCACUGCCAGCCUGGAACAGAUCUUGCAAGCCCUGCCUUUUCUCUCAUCCAAGAACUCAGCUGACUGAAGAAUAUCACCUGCUCCCUGUCACCUUGCAGCCAAGAAGACAGAAACAAAAACAAAACACCCGUUUAGAAGAGAAACACAAAGGCCUCUUCAUCAGUUCUGGGGCUCAAAGAGAUUGAAUGAACAACCAGAGAGCCUGCAUGGGACUGACCUAGGCCUUCUGCAUCUCUUAUACUUCAGAACACACGGAGUUGGCUCUUCACUUUUGGGAGACGACAAGUAUCCUGACCUCAUACAAGUGCUUUCACACAUUGAAUUCAGCAUGACAGACUCACCAGCUCACCUAACGUGAAGUGAGCACUUCAAUCUAAGGCUAUCCAAGGACUGCUUCUUUCCUGUAAGCUAAGAGCUACUCAGUGUCCAGUGGAGACUAUCACUGAAAUUCACAACUGCUCAAAAUGGAGAAGAAACUGACUGUAGGGUUCUCAGCCCCAGCUGAUACACCUACAACACAACCUUUUCACCUAAGGUGAACAUCAAGGAAAGGGAUGGAAAGAUCGUAAGAGUCAAAAGACCAGGAUGUCUGCUGUGAGAUAGUAUCUUCUACAUACUACAGGGAAAUUGUACUCAUGAAAUCCCAAUGACACAAUCAUCUAAACAAGACCUGAACAAUGACAACUCCAACUGGCAUGCCAAAAUAGGUGAGGGAAAUCUUGCAAGGCUGCACCACGAAAUCAAGAACUAUAGGAAAUUAAUGGUGGCCAUAAGAAAAAAAAUUAGUCCUCCUCUGUAAAUAAGAUCCCUGUAGGUUGUCCAACCAAGUGAUCAACCUUACACAUACAUACUUACAUACAAGUUGUACCACAUAGACUCAACAGGCUUCUCUCUCUCUCUCUCUCUCUCUCUCUCUCUCUCUCUCUCUCUCUCUGUUUCUCUCUGUCUCUGACUCUCUCUCUCUGUCUCUGUGUGUGUGUGUGUGUGUGUGUGUAUACAAAUAAUUAAAAAAGAAAAUUCCAUGAAUUUGAGAGGGAGUAGGGAGCAAAAUGAGAGGACUUGAAAGAGGAGGAAUUAAAAUUAUAUAAAUAGAAUACUCAUGUAUGAAAUGUUCAAAAAUAAAUGUAGAAAACAA